CGAUAUCUAGUUGUUGUUAGAGGGCAAUCAGGAAGUAACUUUGUUACGCAGAAGGAAACNNCGCGCGCUAUUAGUUAGUUGGUGAGGUAACGGCUCACCAAGGCGAUGAUAGCUACCCGGCCUAAGAGGGUGAUCGGGCACAUUGGGACUGAGAUACGGCCCAGACUCCUACGGGAGGCAGCAGCUAAGAAUAUUCCGCAAUGGACGAAAGUCUGACGGAGCGACGCCGCGUGGAUGAUGAAGGCCGGAAGGUUGUAAAAUCCUUUUAAGUGUGAAGAAUAAGUAAUACCAGAGAAAGUAUUGUGGUGACGGUAGCACUUGAAUAAGCAACGGCU
rnacentral:rRNA from 1 species